CUACGGGGUGCACCAGUGGGGAAUAUUGCACAAUGGACGAAAGUCUGAUGCAGCAACGCCGCGUGGAGGAUGACACAUUUCGGUGCGUAAACUCCUUUUAUAUGAGAAGAUAAUGACGGUAUCAUAUGAAUAAGCACCGGCUAACUCCGUGCCAGCAGCCGCGGUAAUACGGGGGGUGCAAGCGUUACUCGGAAUCACUGGGCGUAAAGAGCAUGUAGGCGGAUUAAUAAGUUGGAAGUGAAAUCCUAUAGCUUAACUAUAGAACUGCUUCCAAAACUGUUGAUCUAGAAUAUGGGAGAGGUAGAUGGAAUUUCUGGUGUAGGGGUAAAAUCCGUAGAGAUCAGAAGGAAUACCGAUUGCGAAGGCGAUCUACUGGAACAUUAUUGACGCUCAGAUGCGAAAGCGUGGGGAGCAAACAGGAUUAGAUACCCGAGUAGUC
rnacentral:rRNA from 1 species